GGGUAGCUCAGGGGUAGAGCAGUGGAUUGAAAAUCCUCGUGUCGGUGGUUCGAUUCCGCCCCUGG
rnacentral:tRNA from 1 species